rnacentral:rRNA from 1 species
UCGAGCGGAUGAGGGAGCUUGCUCCUGGAUUCAGCGGCGGACGGGUGAGUAAUGCCUAGGAAUCUGCCUGGUAGUGGGGGAUAACGUCCGGAAACGGGCGCUAAUACCGCAUACGUCCUGAGGGAGAAAGUGGGGGAUCUUCGGACCUCACGCUAUCAGAUGAGCCUAGGUCGGAUUAGCUAGUUGGUGGGGUAAAGGCCUACCAAGGCGACGAUCCGUAACUGGUCUGAGAGGAUGAUCAGUCACACUGGAACUGAGACACGGUCCAGACUCCUACGGGAGGCAGCAGUGGGGAAUAUUGGACAAUGGGCGAAAGCCUGAUCCAGCCAUGCCGCGUGUGUGAAGAAGGUCUUCGGAUUGUAAAGCACUUUAAGUUGGGAGGAAGGGCAGUAAGUUAAUACCUUGCUGUUUUGACGUUACCAACAGAAUAAGCACCGGCUAACUUCGUGCCAGCAGCCGCGGUAAUACGAAGGGUGCAAGCGUUAAUCGGAAUUACUGGGCGUAAAGCGCGCGUAGGUGGUUCAGCAAGUUGGAUGUGAAAUCCCCGGGCUCAACCUGGGAACUGCAUCCAAAACUACUGAGCUAGAGUACGGUAGAGGGUGGUGGAAUUUCCUGUGUAGCGGUGAAAUGCGUAGAUAUAGGAAGGAACACCAGUGGCGAAGGCGACCACCUGGACUGAUACUGACACUGAGGUGCGAAAGCGUGGGGAGCAAACAGGAUUAGAUACCCUGGUAGUCCACGCCGUAAACGAUGUCGACUAGCCGUUGGGAUCCUUGAGAUCUUAGUGGCGCAGCUAACGCGAUAAGUCGACCGCCUGGGGAGUACGGCCGCAAGGUUAAAACUCAAAUGAAUUGACGGGGGCCCGCACAAGCGGUGG